rnacentral:tRNA from 1 species
GCUCCGGUAGUAUAGCCCGGACAAGUAUGCGGGCCUUUCGAGCCCGUGACCCGGGUUCGAAUCCCGGCCGGAGCA